rnacentral:rRNA from 1 species
GGGCCUGCACAAGCAGUGGAGCAUGUGGUUUAAUUCGAAGAUACGCGCAGAACCUUACCAACACUUGACAUGUUCGUCGCGAGACCAAGAGAUUGGUUUCUUCAUUUAGUUGGACGAAACACAGGUGCUGCAUGGCUGUCGUCAGCUCGUGUCGUGAGAUGUUGGGUUAAGUCCCGCAACGAGCGCAACCCCCUACUUUUAGUUGCCACCAUUUAGUUGGGCACUUUAAAAGAACUGCCAGUGAUAAGCUGGAGGAAGGUGGGGAUGACGUCAAGUCCUCAUGGCCCUUACGUGUUGGGCUACACACGCGCUACAAUGGCACUUACAAUGGGUUAAUCCCAAAAAACUGUCUCAGUUCGGAUUGGGGUCUGCAACUCGACCCCAUGAAGUCGGAAUCGCUAGUAAUCG